UAGGGUAUAGCUCAGUGGUAGAGCACUUGCCUAGCAUGCAUGAGGCUUGGGUUCCACCCCUAGCUCCCUGA
rnacentral:tRNA from 1 species